UAUGGUAAUGUGUGCAGCCGCCGCGUUACUACGGAGGAUGCGAGCGUUAUCCGGAUUUAUUGGGUUUACAGGGUGCGUAGGUGGUGAUUUAAGUCAGCGGUGAAAGUUUGUGGCUCAACCAUAAAAUUGCCGUUGAAACUGGGUUACUUGAGUGUGUUUGAGGUAGGCGGAAUGCGUGGUGUAGCGGUGAAAUGCAUAGAUAUCACGCAGAACUCCGAUUGCGAAGGCAGCUUACUAAACCAUAACUGACACUGAAGCACGAAAGCGUGGGGAUCAAACAGG
rnacentral:rRNA from 1 species